AUGGAGCUGCAGGCGCAACCGACCGGCAGGAAGAGGGGCAGGACGAGGGACGGCACGACGGCGAGGGUGGUGCCGAGGAAGGAGGCGGAGAGGGAGAGAAGGCAGCACAUGAAGGCGCUCUGCGCCAAGCUCGCCUCCCUCAUCCCAAAAGAACACUUCUCCAACCCUUCUACAGUGACCCAGCUAGGCAGCCUAGAUGAGGCUGUGUCAUACAUCAAGAAGCUCAAGGAAAGGGUCGACGAGCUGCAACAUAGGAAGAGCUCUGCGAAAGCAAUGGCUGCCGCAAGAGGGGCUAGUGGCGCUUCAACGCCCGCCACCACCCCAACCACGAGUGGCGGUGCAGGGUCACAAGAACAAGAGAAACAUUGGGAGGCUUCAGCACCGGUGGUGGAGGUGCGGCAACACGAUGAUACAAGCAUGGAUGUGGUGCUUGUAUGCGGCACAGAGAGGCCGAUCAUGCUCCACAAGGUGAUCACCAUCCUUGAGGAAGAAGGCGCCGAUGUCAUCAAUGCCAAUCAAUCUGUUGCUACCCACAAAAUAUUCUACACCAUACACUGCCGGGCCUUCAGCUCAAGAAUUGGCAUCAAUGUUUCAAGUGUUUCCGGACGACUGAGAGAUGUUGUCAAUUAA
rnacentral:rRNA from 1 species